GGGUCGCUAGCUCAAUAGCGAAGCAGCAUCCGGCUUUUAACCGGAAGGUUCCGAGUUCGAAUCUCGGGCGGCCCACCA
rnacentral:tRNA from 1 species